GAUGAACGCUGGCGGCGUGCCUAAUACAUGCAAGUCGAGCGAACAGACGAGGAGCUUGCUCCUUUGACGUUAGCGGCGGACGGGUGAGUAACACGUGGAUAACCUACCUAUAAGAUUGGGAUAACUUCGGGAAACCGGAGCUAAUACCGGAUAACAUGUUGAACCGCAUGGUUCAACAGUGAAAGACGGUCUUGCUGUCACUUAUAGAUGGAUCCGCGCCGCAUUAGCUAGUUGGUAAGGUAACGGCUUACCAAGGCAACGAUGCGUAGCCGACCUGAGAGGGUGAUCGGCCACACUGGAACUGAGACACGGUCCAGACUCCUACGGGAGGCAGCAGUAGGGAAUCUUCCGCAAUGGGCGAAAGCCUGACGGAGCAACGCCGCGUGAGUGAAGAAGGUCUUCGGAUCGUAAAACUCUGUUAUUAGGGAAGAACAAAUGUGUAAGUAACUAUGCACGUCUUGACGGUACCUAAUCAGAAAGCCACGGCUAACUACGUG
rnacentral:rRNA from 1 species